rnacentral:tRNA from 3 species
GGAGAGGUGGCUGAGUGGUUGAAAGCACCGCUUUGCUAAAGCGGCGAGGGGCCUAAAACCCCUCCGCGGGUUCGAAUCCCGCCCUCUCCG